rnacentral:rRNA from 1 species
UACGUAGGGCGCAAGCGUAUCCGGAAUUAUUGGGCGUAAAGAGCUCGUAGGCGGUUUGUCGCGUCUGCCGUGAAAGUCCGGGGCUCAACUCCGGAUCUGCGGUGGGUACGGGCAGACUAGAGUGAUGUAGGGGAGACUGGAAUUCCUGGUGUAGCGGUGAAAUGCGCAGAUAUCAGGAGGAACACCAAUGGCGAGGCAGCACUCUGGGACGUGACUGACGCUGAGACGCGAAAGCGUGGGGAGCAAACAGG